UACGGAGGAUGCAAGCGUUAUCCGGAUUCAUUGGGUUUAAAGGGUGCGUAGGCGGCUUUUUAAGUCAGUGGUGAAAUCUUGCCGCUUAACGGUAAAAUUGCCAUUGAUACUGAUAAGCUUGAGUACAAUUGAGGUAAGCGGAAUGUGUAGUGUAGCGGUGAAAUGCUUAGAUAUUACACAGAACACCGAUUGCGAAGGCAGCUUACUAAACUGUUACUGACGCUGAUGCACGAAAGCGUGGGGAGCGAACAGGAUUAGAAACCCCGUGUA
rnacentral:rRNA from 1 species